UACAGAGGUCUCAACCGUUGUUCGGAUUCAUUGGGCGUAAAGGGCGCGUAGGCGGCGGGGUAAGUCGGGUGUGAAAUCUCAGAGCUCAACUCUGAAAUGGCACUUGAUACUGCUCUGCUAGAGGACUGGAGAGGAGAUUGGAAUUCACGGUGUAGCAGUGAAAUGCGUAGAUAUCGUGAGGAAGACCGGUGGCGAAGGCGGAUCUCUGGACAGUUCCUGACGCUGAGGCGCGAAGGCCAGGGGAGCAAACGGG
rnacentral:rRNA from 1 species